rnacentral:rRNA from 1 species
CCUACGGGUGGCAGCAGUGGGGAAUAUUGCACAAUGGGCGCAAGCCUGAUGCAGCGACGCCGCGUGGGGGAUGACGGCCUUCGGGUUGUAAACUCCUUUCGUUAGGGACGAAGCCACGCCUUUUUUUGGGUGUGGUGACGGUACCUUUGUUAAGAAGCACCGGCUAACUACGUGCCAGCCGCCGCGGUAAUACGUAGGGUGCGAGCGUUGUCCGGAAUUACUGGGCGUAAAGAGCUCGUAGGUGGUUUGUUGCGUCGUCUGUGAAAUUCCGGGGCUUAACUUCGGGGUGGCAGGCGAUACGGGCAUAACUAGAGUGCUGUAGGGGAGACUGGAAUUCCUGGUGUAGCGGUGGAAUGCGCAGAUAUCAGGAGGAACACCGAUGGCGAAGGCAGGUCUCUGGGCAGUAACUGACGCUGAGGAGCGAAAGCAUGGGGAGCGAACAGGAUUAGAUACCCGAGUAGUC